GCCGGCUGCCCAGGAAGACCACGCCGACGAAGAGGAAGGCGAAGGUGACGCCCGUCAGGCACAGCAGCAGGAACACGCGCCGCUGGAAGCGCCCGAACUCGCCGGCCCGCUGCAGCGCCUCAUCGAAGGACGGCAUGUGAGUCGUUCAAGAAGCAGUGUGCACCCCAGCAGGGAGAGUGGCCCUGCCCAGCGCCUACACCCAGAAACUACAUGCAGUGUCUCACCUUCAGGGCGGCAUAGGUUUGAAUUGCCUGUGAGCAUCUGUGCUUCAUCUCUGUUUAUUUUCUGCGUCUGUUACCCAGUACUCAUGUAUAGAUGUGAGAUUU